UCCCUGAUGGCUCAGACGGCAAAAGUGUCUGCCUGCAAUGUGGGGGACCCGGGUUCGAUUCCUGGGUAGGGAA
rnacentral:tRNA from 1 species